GGAGCAGGGCCGCCCGGGGAGCUGCGCUGCGCCUCUGCCCGGCCCUGCGCGGGGACUGCGCGAGUGAGGCGCUGCGGAGCCGCCCCCCUCUUUUCCCCCCUCUGGGGGCUCCCCGGCUCUUUCGUCCUUUGGGAAGUGGAGUAAACGCCCCACGGGCCAAUCAGAGCCGGCGCUGGGCCCUGACGUCGCGGGGUGACUCAUGCCAUUGGCUCGGGAGCGGGAGGGAGGGCACAGCCUUUUUUUUUUUCCUUCUCUUUCUUUCUAUUUUUUUUUUUUCCCGAGGCUUAUUUUGUUUGGGGUGUUCCCCCUCCCCCCGUCCCCUCCGAAAUGAAUUACGAGUUAAUGACACGGGCAGCGAGCGGAGCCGUGCCAUUAAGGAGCCGUCCAGGGCUAUAAUCAUACCGAAGCAAGAAAAGAGCCGCCGGGGUAAUUAAGGCUGAUGAUUAGGCGAAGAGGAAACUUUAGAAGAUCGCGGCACUGCCUCCUCUCGCCGCCGGCCCGGCCCCUCCCGGCCCCCUCUGUCCCCCGGCCGCGCCCCCGCCGCCCCGUCGGGUCUCGCCGCCCUCCCGGAGCGGGGGACUUCUCCGGGGUCACAUGGGGGGGGGGGGCGGCGGGGUGCUGAACCCUCACUCAGUGCAACACCCCCGCGGAAAAACGCGGGAGCCCAUUCUGCGCAUUUUUCAUCCUCAAAGGGGUUUCGGUUGUGUUUCUUCGGCAGCGGGACCCGAGUCGGGCAGAAAACACUCAGCAGAGUUAAACACAGGAGAAAGAAACCCCACGCGGCACCGAAUGCCGGGACGGCAGCCUCGCAAAGACGGAGGUUUGGUGACAUUUCUUGGAAUAGAGUCCUUCCCCCGACCCAAGAUUUCAGAGCGACCUCAAAUCAGCAGGGAUUUCACCCGUCCCGGGGAACCGACGCGCCAGGAGCGGGGAGAUGAAAGGGAAGCUCCUGGGGGAAGUGGCUGUGCAGUUUGACCGGCUCCAGCGGCAGCAGCAGCGACGGCCCGUCCCGGGCAGCUCCG
rnacentral:lncRNA from 1 species